rnacentral:rRNA from 1 species
AAGGUUAUAUGAUCAAGUAAAAGGAAGAGCAC